rnacentral:rRNA from 1 species
AUUGAACGCUGGCGGCAGGCCUAACACAUGCAAGUCGAACGAGUGGCGGACGGGUGAGUAAUGUCUGGGAAACUGCCUGAUGGAGGGGGAUAACUACUGGAAACGGUAGCUAUAACGCAUACCAUUAGAUGUGCCCCGAUGGGAUUAGCUAGUUGGUGGGGUAACGGCUAACCAAGGCGACGGGCCCUUGCUGGUCUGAGAGGAUGACCCGCCACACUGGAACUGAGACACGGUCCAGACUCCUACGGGAGGCAGCAGUGGGGAAUAUUGCACAAUGGGCGCAAGCCUGAUGCAGCCAUGCCGCGUGUAUGAAGAAGGCCUUCGGGUUGUAAAGUACUUUCAGCGGGGAGGCGUUACCCGCAGAAGAAGCACCGGCUAACUCCGUGCCAGCAGCCGCGGUAAUUC